UAAUGCUGAUUCAUGGAGUAGUUGUAUACUGUCAACUUAAUGUGACAGUCCCAUGAAGGGAAUCACACUACUGCUAUUUAUCCCUAGGAAGCAGCAAUGUUUCCUGUUGCCCUUGACACAUUUCCUUUGCCCUUAUGUUUACAAGGGGGAGAUAAGCACUUCCACCCAGCUAAGCCUGCAUCCAGAGAAUAGUUUCUGAGUCUUCCCUCGUCAUCAGUCUGGAGUAGCCAUGGCCUCC